GUCGUCGUCGUCGUCCUCCUCCUCCUCCUCCACCUCCAGUCCUUCUCCGUCUACACUCCUCCACUCUCCCGAGCUAGCGAGGCCAAAGCUCCCCCUUCCCCUUCCUGGAUUUGAUAUAACUCUGCAAUUGUUCUUCAAAUUUACUUCCCUGAUUUGCCCUCGGUUGCAGCCCGCGAUGGCUUCGUUAUUUAAGGACCAAUCAAAGCUGUCGCAGUACCGGGAUAGAAGGUUUCCGGGGUCACAAGAGGAGUUUGAACAAGCACUCUUGGCAUCAACAACUGUUUACAUUGGGAAUAUGUCCUUCUACACGACAGAAGAGCAAGUUUACGAGCUCUUCUCUCGCGCCGGAGAAAUUAAGAAGAUAAUUAUGGGCUUGGAUAAGAAUACCAAAACCCCUUGUGGUUUUUGUUUUGUCCUAUACUAUUCUCGAGAGGAUACUGAGGAUGCUGUAAAGUAUAUUAGCGGGACUAUUCUUGAUGAUCGCCCUAUUCGUGUGGAUUUUGAUUGGGGAUUUCAAGAGGGAAGGCAAUGGGGUCGUGGGCGAAGUGGUGGACAGGUGCGCGAUGAGUAUCGUACUGAUUAUGAUCCUGGUAGAGGUGGAUAUGGUAAGUUAGUUCAACAAGAGUUGGAAGCUCAAAGAACACUUGUUGAUUAUGGAACUGGAUCAUUGGGCUCUUUCCCUCAAGCCAUGCCACCUCAGUAUGGUAGACAUGGUGGAGGCCCGAAUCACGGGGGUACUCAUCGUCCUACGCAGAGAUUAUCCUCGGAAGCGGUACCGAGAUGAUGACCGCCAAUCAUAUGACAACUCAAAGAGAAACUCGGAUUAUGAAUCGCAGAAGAGCUCUGAUCUCGAAUCUAGACCAGAGAAAAAUCCACGAUUUCGUGAGAGUGGUGACUCUGAUGACGAUGAAGAUGAGCAGAAGCGGCAAGCUUAAUCAGAUUCCACAGCCGGGGGAUUGAUCAGUGGACUGACACUUUACGGCAGAUAGAAUUCAACGGUGUCCAAAUCGGAAUGUUGACUUAAUUCUGCCCCAGACAACGUGAAGACAUGAUCAUCUUUUGUAGAUUUCAUUUCUUGAAGGCCUAGUUUUUGCAUUUAGUCCUGCACAGGAGAGUAAUCAACUACAUAUAUGUUAGUAUUUGCAUGGAUUCGCUUGCGCUCGAGAUAAGGAGAUUGAGAAUGAGCAUUCUACUUGAACAUUUCACUGGUCAUUCCGAACAGCUACAGCAUGUUUCGAUAUCUAGCCUCAAAUGAUUAUUAUUCCA